rnacentral:tRNA from 1 species
UCUAAGAAAUUGAAUCUAUAAAAAACUAUUUAAAUUUUAAAAUUUGACUAUUUAAAUAUUCUUAAUAAAAUUAAUAUAAUCCACAAAGCAUGUAGCUCAGUGGAUAGAGCAUCAGAUUCCGAUUCUGAAAGUCGGGGGUUCGAUUCCCUUCAUGCUUA